CUUCUGUGGCUGGUUUCUUUCACCGAGCAUAAUGUUUUCAAGGUCCGCUCGUAUUGCGCCGUAUAUCGGUACUGCAUUCCUUUGCACGGCCAAAUAAUGAAUAAUAUUUUACAGUGGAAUAAUAUUCCAUUUGCGUGUGUGUGUGUGUGUGUGUAUGUAUGUAUAUAUAUAACAUUUUGUUUAUUCAUUCCUCAGUUGAUGGACCUAUUUGGGUUGUUUCUACCUUUUGGCUGUUAUAUGUAAUGCUGUCCUAAACAUCUGUGUAAAGUUUUUGCAUAGACACUUGUUUUCAUUUCUUUCAGGUAUAUACCUAGGAAUAGAUAUUCUGGGUCACAUGGUAACUCUACGUUUGAUCGUUUGAAGAACUGCCAGACUGUUUUCCCAAGGGCUGCGCCAUUUCACAUUCUCUGUAUGAGGCACCGUAUGAGGGUUCUGAUUUCUCCACAUCUUCAUCAACACUUGUUAUUAUUUGGAUUUUUGAUCCUAGCCAUCUUCGUGGGUGUGAAGUGGUAUCUCACUGUGAUUUCGAUUUGCAUCUCUCUGGUGACUCAUGAUAUCGAGCAUCUUUCAGGUAUUUAUUGGCCAUUUGUGUAUCUUCCCUGGACAAGUGUUGGCUAACAAUGACUCUGGACCCUGGGCACCGAGCUUCAGUCUUCCCAUCUGUAAUAUGGGACGACCACUGCCCAUGCAGCACUCUUACAAAAGACAAGAUGUAGGCUGUAGAAACACGGUGACUCUGAUCUGAGGACACGUGCAGUUGAGAGCUGCAGUCUCAGGAGCUACUGAAACCGGGGGUAGACAGCCCCCUGUAGCCUGGGGGCACCCAUCCCUUGGCACCUCUGCCCUGCUCUCCUCCCCUUACCCCUGCACACAGGUUUUGACUGCUCCGUGGCCAGCAACACUGUAACAAAACCUGUGGCGGGUGAAGCCGCCUCAUAGUAAAGCUCAUUCAGGAAAGCAAUUUACCCAAUGAACAGCUGUUCAAAUGGUGUGAGCUGGGAGCUAGGUUUCUGGCGUUUCAGCAUAUGGUUGAUGUCCUGAGUUGAAUAGUGUCUCUCCCAGAAGACACUAUUUCGGGUCCUAACCCCCAGUGUCUGUGAAUACGACAUUAUUUGGAAACAGCGUCCUUGCAGAUCUAAUUUGUUGAGAUGAGGUCACACUGGAUCAGGGUGGGCACUGGUCCAGCGACCGUUGUCCUUAGAAGAGGAAGGAAAUUUGGACACAGAUACACAAGAAGACGUCCAUGUGACAACAGAAGCAGAGACUGGAUUUAUGCUGCGACAAGUCGAUGAUCGCCAAGCAUUGCCAGCAGCUGCCACAAGCGGAAGGGGCUGAGAAUGACCCUCGCCUGGAGCCUUCUGGGGGAAUAUGGCCCUGCCCACACCUUGACUGCAAACUUCUAGCAUCCAGAGCUGUGAGGUGUUAUCCCAAUUUUAUGGGUGGCUGGAGGAGGCUGAACCUCGUUCGUGGUCCCAGAGGCAGAGCCUGGAGGAUGCGGGUCUGGAGCUCUCAGCUUCGUGUUCUUUGUUGGGUCACGGGUCCCACCAUCACCCACAUCUCAGCUCGCGAGCUUCAGGAACAAAGCGCAGUGAAGGCUUCAAACUAUCCGUCAAGUCAAGAUGCAGUCAACACAGUCUAAGAAGGAGGCCCAGAGGAAAGGUGGCAGGUGGACGCCAGCUGAGUGUGGGUUCUGAUGUCAGACCAUCCUGGCUCUGCCAGUGACUGGCUGGUAGGCUGGCAUUUGACCUUCUGAGGCUCAGUUUCUUCAUCUGUAAAACGGGAGGCAGUGGACCCUCCCUCGCCAGGUGACUCUACGUACACAUGCUCCCAGGCACAUCGCAAGCACUCAGCAAAUGGUAGGUGUCGGGAUGAGGAUGACACAUCUCUAGCCCCUCCUUAUGUCUCCACUGCUAAUUCACAACUGGAUCAGUUCUGCCUCACCUUCAGAUCCCCUAGCCGUGCAGAAUAGCCCUGCUUAUCUGGGACAGAAAAGCUCCAAGGAAGCAAAAGGAGGGUCUGGGAUACACGAAACAGAUGUCACCAAACCAUGGACUUGAAGAAAAACUCUCCGGGCCCUCAAUCUAUUUGAGCCCUAUUUUGACCUGAUGGGAAUGGCCUGGGCUUGGUGGUUAGUUUCCCAGCCCACUGAAGACAGGGAGAAAGCCUGAAAGUGAUGAGGCCACUCGAGCUCACAGCGAGGCUGCUGCCCUGCGGUGAGAGGCUCCGUCCAGACCACUAGUCCUCCCCCACCCACAGCUCCUGGUCUCAGUACAGGAAGCAAGCACGGAAGGAAGCUGGUGGGGACGCUGGCAGUGGUGGUGGGAGCACGGCGCCAUCCAGGCUACAUCAGGACCUGGGAGCGGUCACCACGUGACGCUCCCUUCCUUCCCGGUGAGAAAGCACACGAGCGCUCAGAAAGGGAUUUUCCCCCGAGAAUCUCCCUAAAAGUCAAAGCCACCUGCUGAGUCAGGGAGCACACUGUUCUCAUGAACACUCAAGCCCAAAAAGCUGCGUCAGGAUUUCAAUUUCAUUUUCUGACAAGCAGCUAACACACUGGGGGCGGGGCGGGGGAGGUACUUCGUAGAGGGGAGUCUGGGCGGAGCCUGAGAAGGCGGAGAUCCGUGUGUGUGAGUGUGCACACGCAUGUGUAAUGGGAAGGACAUGAUGCCACAGCACAGUGAGCUGAAGGAAGGGGCACAGUUUAAUCUGCUGCUGUCAGCAGAGCGAAUGGGGUCUAAGGCCCCUCUUCUCUUAGUGAUGGAGGUGGGCUGGUCUGGGUCCUGCUCCCAUGACAGAUUCCUGGGAAAAGGCACCUCUUUGGUGACCCUCCUCAUGAAAGGACAGAGCCUCGAGGUGAUCUAGAAGCAGAUUCCGCGGCUAUAUUUGGACUUUAAUACCUAUGGCUUUGUGUUUUCAUAGAGUUUACGGAAAAAUAUAUUCCCACCAGGGGUGAUUUUAAAUACAUUUCCUAGUAAAUAGAAGGAAAACGAAAUCCUUCCUAGCCACUGUAGUUCUUGAAAUAUCUUUCUGCCUUGGUGUUCAUUUAUCUGGGUUAUUAAUUUUCUGGACACCAAAAUAAUAAUUAGCAUGGCUGGUGACCAGAGGGGACCCUCUCACUUGACUGCAUCCAUACAUUUCUUCGUGUGUCAUUCUUCAAAGCGUGACAGUCAAGGUUGUCUCCCGCCUUCCACCUGAUUUUAGGAGCUUCGAGAACUCCCACAAGAUGGCAGUGCCGGUCCUCUUAGCUGGUGGCUCUUGGGCCAGCAGGGCUUUGGCUGGCUCAGCCAGGACCAGGGUAACAGGGAGCUGGGGGUCCGCGGUGGGCAGGGGCUACUGGCACCUUAGGACAAGUGUGUUCCCUUCUCCCUAAGGGUUAGGUCAUUGUGCAGGGAGCCUCACUAAAGGGAAAUGAAACAUGACUCAAGGGCUUUAGGCGAAAUUCUAAAUCUAGAGAAAAUAAUCAGGGACCCAAUUCCUUGUAGGAUUUGGCAUGCAGAGUUUGUAAUAUCUUUUUGAAGGGUGCUCUUCUGGGGGACAAUGUCUGAGCUCGUGUUUCCAUCUUUGUUUCAACGAGAAGGCCAAGGUUCGGCAUUGGCUGUGGUGCCUCUAGUUCCCUGACUCAGGCCUGCUGAUCCCAGGAUGCCAUGACUCUGGGACAAAGCCCAAACCCAGCCUGUGCCUCUGAGUCUGUCCUAGAGAUGUGUGCGGUCCGGUCUCCAGGUGGGAGGAUGCUCUUCUUUGGGAUUCUAAAAAGCCUGCUCUCCAGAUGACACUCCACCCACAGAUGCUUGGCUGACUGUCGAUCCAGAUGCCAACACUUCACCACCUGCUUGUUUCGAGAAGGCGGCCACCCCAAGUACUGAGUGUGUAGGGCGAGGAUGGCCUAUGUGUAAACGACGUGUCCCACAGACACACAAGGUACAGUGACAGCUACCUUACCAGGGCCCGGGAAGCCCCAUCUUCCCUCUAGACACGUAUUUCCAGAAAGGCACUCUAAGUUUCAUACCAAUGCCCUUUACACACAAGACCAUCUCAUCGUGUG